AACACUCUGUUUAUGCUCUCU
rnacentral:miRNA from 1 species